rnacentral:rRNA from 1 species
GUGCCAGCAGCAGCGGUAAUACGGAGGGUGCGAGCGUUAAUCGGAAUUACUGGGCGUAAAGCGCACGCAGGCGGUCUGUCAAGUCGGAUGUGAAAUCCCCGGGCUCAACCUGGGAACUGCAUUCGAAACUGGCAGGCUAGAGUCUUGUAGAGGGGGGUAGAAUUCCAGGUGUAGCGGUGAAAUGCGUAGAGAUCUGGAGGAAUACCGGUGCGAAGGCGGCCCCCUGGACAAAGACUGACGCUCAGGUGCGAAAGCGUGGGGAGCAAACAGGAUUAGAUACCCUGGUAGUCCACGCCGUAAACGAUGUCGACUUGGAGGUUGUGCCCUUGAGGCGUGGCUUCCGGAGCUAACGCGUUAAGUCGACCGCCUGGGGAGUACGGCCGCAAGGUUAAAACUCGAAAUGAAUUGACGGGGGCCCGCGACAAGCGGU